rnacentral:rRNA from 1 species
GUCGAGGGGUAGGGUGCUUCGGCACUUGAGACCGGCGCACGGNUNCGUAACACGUGUACAAUCUACCUUUUGCUAAGGGAUAGCCCGAAGAAAUUUGGAUUAAUACCUUAUAGUAUUGUUUGGUGGCAUCACUAAAUAAUUAAAGCUCUGGUGGCAAAAGAUGAGUACGCGUCCCAUUAGCUAGUUGGUGUGGUAACGGCAUACCAAGGCUACGAUGGGUAGGGGUCCUGAGAGGGAGGUCCCCCACACUGGUACUGAGACACGGACCAGACUCCUACGGGAGGCAGCAGUGAGGAAUAUUGGACAAUGGUCGGAAGACUGAUCCAGCCAUGCCGCGUGCAGGAUGACGGCCUUAUGGGUUGUAAACUGCUUUUAUACAGGAAGAAUAAGGUCUACGCGUAGAUUGAUGACGGUACUGUAUGAAUAAGCAUCGGCUAACUCCGUGCCAGCAGCCGCGGUAAUACGGAGGAUGCGAGCGUUAUCCGGAAUCAUUGGGUUUAAAGGGUCCGUAGGCGGGCUUAUAAGUCAGAGGUGAAAGCACUGAGC